rnacentral:rRNA from 1 species
GAUGAACGCUGGCGGCGUGCCUAAUACAUGCAAGUCGAGCGAACGGACGAGAAGCUUGCUUCUCUGAUGUUAGCGGCGGACGGGUGAGUAACACGUGGAUAACCUACCUAUAAGACUGGGAUAACUUCGGGAAACCGGAGCUAAUACCGGAUAAUAUUUUGAACCGCAUGGUUCAAAAGUGAAAGACGGUCUUGCUGUCACUUAUAGAUGGAUCCGCGCUGCAUUAUCUAGUUGGUAAGGUAACGGCUUACCAAGGCAACGAUGCAUAGCCGACCUGAGAGGGUGAUCGGCCACACUGGAACUGAGACACGGUCCAGACUCCUACGGGAGGCAGCAGUAGGGAAUCUUCCGCAAUGGGCGAAAGCCUGACGGAGCAACGCCGCGUGAGUGAUGAAGGUCUUCGGAUCGUAAAACUCUGUUAUUAGGGAAGAACAUAUGUGUAAGUAACUGUGCACAUCUUGACGGUACCUAAUCAGAAAGCCACGGCUAACUACGUG